AGGGCAAGUCUGGUGCCAGCAGCCGCGGUAAUUCCAGCCCCAAUAGCGUAUAUUAAAGUUGUUGCAGUUAAAAAGCUCGUAGUUGAAUUUCGGGGUUAGUAGGUUGGUCAUGCCUCAGGUAUGUACUGAUCUCACUGAUUCCUCCUUCCUGAUGAACCGUAAUGCCAUUAAUUUGGUGUUGUGGGGAAACUGGACUGUUACUUUGAAAAAAUUAGAGUGUUUAAAGCAGGCUAACGCUUGAAUACAUUAGCAUGGAAUAAUGAAAUAGGACGUUCGAUCCUAUUUUGUUGGUUUCUAGGAUUGACGUAAUGAUUAAUAGGGAUAGUUGGGGGCAUUAGUAUUCAAUUGUCAGAGGUGAAAUUCUUGGAUUUAUUGAAGACUAACUACUGCGAAAGCAUUUGCCAAGGAUGUUUUCAUUAAUCAAGAACGAAAGUUAGGGGAUCGAAGACGAUCAGAUACCGUCGUAGUCUUAACCAUAAACUAUGCCGACUAGGGAUCGGAUGAUGUUAAUUUUUUAAUGACUCAUUCGGCGCCUUACGGGAA
rnacentral:rRNA from 1 species